GUGGCUCUAGUCUAUGGUCAGAUGAAUGAACCGCCCGGAGCUCGUAUGAGGGUUGGUUUAAGGUCUACGGUUCGAGUCCGUAUAGCCCUA
rnacentral:tRNA from 1 species